UAUAACAUCAAAAUCAAGCAUGCAGAUCAUUCAACACUAUUCCAUUUAUUAAUCCUGUUAGCGCAACCUAUAAUUUGCAUCGCUUUUUACCCAAAUUGAAGCAACUUUAUUUUUUGACCCCUGUACAAAAUGAAACUGACCUUUGUCACCAUUCUUGCUGUUUUUAAUCCCGUAACUCCAUAGAAUUCAGUCACAGAUAGU